AUCUAACUGAUGAGUCCCAAAUAGAACGAAACGAGUAUUCUGGAU
rnacentral:hammerhead_ribozyme from 1 species